UCAAGCACGCAGGGCGUGGGACAGGCAAAUCCGUCCCGCAUGGGUCCGAGGUGCGAUGAUGGGGGCCUUAUGGCCCGAUAUCCGGUGAUCCCGGCUGCCGAGAAAAGCUUCGGCGUCAGGCUCAAAGCCGCCCGUACCCCAAACCGACACUGGUGGUCAGGUAGAGAAUACCAAAGCGAUCGAGCGAAUCCUGGUCAAGGAACUCGGCAAAUCACUCCCGUUCCUUCGGUUUAAGGGAGACCCCCGAUGGUGAACACACUUGCUGUGGGAGCUUUUGGGGGUGGCACAGACCAGGGGGUAGCGACUGUUUACCAAAAACACAGGUGCAUGCGAAGGCGCAAGCCGCUGUAUAUGCACUGACGCCUGCCCGGUGCCGGAAGGUUAAGAGGAUCCGUCAGCCUUCGGGUGAAGCGGUGAAUUCAAGCCCCGGUAAACGGCGGUGGUAACAAUAACCAUCCUAAGGUAGCGAAAUUCCUUGUCGGGUAAGUUCCGACCUGCACGAAUGGCGUAACGACUUCCCCACUGUCUCGACCAGGAGCUCGGCGAAAUUGCAGUACGAGUAAAGAUGCUCGUUAAGCGCAGAAGGACGAAAAGACCCCGGGACCUUUACUAUACCUUGGUAUUGGCAUUCGGUGUGGAUUGUGUAGCAUAGGCGGGAGGCCGAGAGGCGCGGUCGCCAGAUCGCGCGGAGCCGUAAGGUGAAAUACCGCUCUGUUCGCAUUGGAUGUCUAACCUCGAACAGUCAUCCUGUUCAGGGACAGUGCCUGGCGGGUAGUUUAACUGGGGCGGUUGCCUCCCAAAGAGUAACGGAGGCGCCCAAAGGUCCGCUCAGCCCGGUUGGCAAUCGGGUGGCGAGUGCAAGUGCACAAGCGGGCUUGACUGCGAGGACGACGGUCCGAGCAGGGACGAAAGUCGGGACUAGUGAUCCGGUGCCGGUGUACGGACGCGGCAUCGCUCAACGGAUAAAAGGUACCCCGGGGAUAACAGGCUGAUCAUUCCCAAGAGUCCAUAUCGACGGGAUGGUUUGGCACCUCGAUGUCGGCUCGUCGCAUCCUGGGGCUGGAGCAGGUCCCAAGGGUUCGGCUGUUCGCCGAUUAAAGCGGCACGCGAGCUGGGUUCAGAACGUCGUGAGACAGUUUGGUCUCUAUCCUCUGCGCUCGUUGGAAUGCUGAGGAGGCCUGCCCAUAGUACGAGAGGACCUGGGUGGACGAACCUCUGGUAUGCCGGUUGUCACGCCAGUGGCACGGCCGGUCGGCUACGUUCGGAAGGGAUAACCGCUGAAAGCAUCUAAGCGGGAAGCCUGCUCCAAGAUAAGCAUUCCGUGGAACCUUCGAGUUCCUGUAGUCCCCAUGCAGAACACGUGGUCGAUAGGCCGGACGUGGAAGCCCCGCGAGGGGUGGAGCCGACCGGUACUAACGGACGAAAGCC
rnacentral:rRNA from 1 species